rnacentral:lncRNA from 1 species
UCAUGCCAAUAAUUUCAAACAAAGGUUGUCUAUAUUUGUUUGUCUUGUAGGUGCUAUCCAUAACUAACACAAUCGGAAAAAUAUUCAACAACUUAACUAAAUCAGGAUGUGCCCAAAAUAUCUCUCUCACCACUUCCUAUAUUUGUUUGUCUUGUAGGUGCUAUCCAUAACUAACACAAUCGGAAAAAUAUUCAACAACUUAACUAAAUCAGGAUGUGCCCAAAAUAUCUCUCUCACCACUUCCGAGUCAUCCUUUUUUCUACUCUAAUAGACAUAACCUGCAUUCUUAAUAAACUUAAACAUAUGUUGUAUCUCACUCCUAGGACCUCUUAUCUCUUUUUGUAUCACACUCUUAUGCUUGUAUACUUGCGUAAUCCGAGUGACAUUCUCAGGAUCUCGCUCUUGCAAGGAAAGCAAUAUGUGUCUAGGGGGUACAUGUCUCUUUGUCAAAUCAGCGACAUGUUGCUUCUCAUCUGUGGUCAACCUACCGAUAAACGAAUGACCUUCUAAUCUAUCAAGUAAACCAUGAUUAUGUAACCCACAUUUUACAUCAAUCUUCCAACCAAAUCCAUCUUUCGCCGGAGUCGACCUGAUUUUAAAUGGGCAUCCACAUUUCUUGAACGACUGAUAAUAACAGUUACUUUAUUAUCGUUUCCAACCUCUUUAAUCCAUCUGAUAACCUGUUCUCGUGUACCAAAUCUUUCAGUCGUUAUAAACGUAUCAGUAGUAUCUACACAUAUUUGGGGAAGAUUUUCCAUUCCUGCAAAAUAAAAAACAGAUUAAAAAAAAAAAAAAGCAAAUCGGAACACUUCUUGAAAGAGUUCCGGUAAACAAAUUUACAAA